AGCAGCCGCGGUAAUUCCAGCUCCAAUAGCGUAUAUUAAAGUUGUUGCGGUUAAAAAGCUCGUAGUUGAAUUUCGGGAUCAAUAUAUCGGUCGUGCCAUUGGUACGUACUGGUAUCAUUGGUUUCUCCUUUCUGACGAACCAUGAUGUCAUUAAUUUGGUGUUAUGGGAAGUUAGGACUGUUACUUUGAAAAAUUAGAGUGUUUAAAGCAGGCUUUAGCUUGAAUACAUUAGCAUGGAAUAAUGAAAUAGGACGUUCGAACCUAUUUUGUUGGUUUCUAGGAUCAACGUAAUGAUUAAUAGGGAUAGUUGGGGGCAUUAGUAUUCAAUUGUCAGAGGUGAAAUUCUUGGAUUUAUUGAAGACUAACUACUGCGAAAGCAUUUGCCAAGGAUGUUUUCAUUAAUCAAGAACGAAAGUUAGGGGAUCGAAGACGAUCAGAUACCGUCGUAGUCUUAACCAUAAACUAUGCCGACUAGGGAUCGGAUGAUGUUAAUUUUUUAAUGACUCA
rnacentral:rRNA from 1 species